GGGGAUGUAGUUAAUAAUAACAUUUAAUUUGCAUUUAAAAAGAACUUUUGAGUCUUCCUCA
rnacentral:tRNA from 1 species